rnacentral:rRNA from 1 species
GUGGACGCCAGUCUGCAUGGAGCCGACCUUGAAAUACCACCCUUUAAUGUUUGAUGUUCUAACGUGGACCCGUAAUCCGGGUUGCGGACAGUGUCUGGUGGGUAGUUUGACUGGGGCGGUCUCCUCCUAAAGAGUAACGGAGGAGCACGAAGGUUGGCUAAUCCUGGUCGGACAUCAGGAGGUUAGUGCAAUGGCAUAAGCCAGCUUGACUGCGAGCGUGACGGCGCGAGCAGGUGCGAAAGCAGGUCAUAGUGAUCCGGUGGUUCUGAAUGGAAGGGCCAUCGCUCAACGGAUAAAAGGUACUCCGGGGAUAACAGGCUGAUACCGCCCAAGAGUUCAUAUCGACGGCGGUGUUUGGCACCUCGAUGUCGGCUCAUCACAUCCUGGGGCUGAAGUAGGUCCCAAGGGUAUGGCUGUUCGCCAUUUAAAGUGGUACGCGAGCUGGGUUUAGAACGUCGUGAGACAGUUCGGUCCCUAUCUGCCGUGGGCGCUGGAGAACUGAGGGGGGCUGCUCCUAGUACGAGAGGACCGGAGUGGACGCAUCACUGGUGUUCGGGUUGUCAUGCCAAUGGCACUGCCCGGUAGCUAAAUGCGGAAGAGAUAAGUGCUGAAAGCAUCUAAGCACGAAACUUGCCCCGAGAUGAGUUCUCCCUGAGACUUUAGGUCUCCUGAAGGAACGUUGAAGACGACGACGUUGAUAGGCCGGGUGUGUAAGCGCAGCGAUGCGUUGAGCUAACC